ensembl:snRNA U6 U6 spliceosomal RNA
GUGCUCACUUUGGCAGUACAUAUACUAAAAUUGGAAUGAUACAGAUAUUAGCGUGGUCCCUGCACAUGAAGGACAUGUAAAUUCAUGAAGCAUUUCCUAUUUUG